rnacentral:rRNA from 1 species
GGGAAUAUUGCACAAUGGGCGCAAGCCUGAUGCAGCCAUGCCGCGUGUAUGAAGAAGGCCUUCGGGUUGUAAAGUACUUUCAGCGGGGAGGAAGGUGAUAAGGUUAAUAACCUUGUCGAUUGACGUUACCCGCAGAAGAAGCACCGGCUAACUCCGUGCCAGCAGCCGCGGUAAUACGGAGGGUGCAAGCGUUAAUCGGAAUUACUGGGCGUA